GGCUGGCGUCUGCACCUGCGACCACCGUGAGCAGUCAUGGCGUACUCCACAGUGCAGAGAGUCGCUCUGGCUUCUGGGCUUGUCCUGGCUCUGUCGCUGCUGCUGCCCAAGGCCUUCCUGUCCCGCGGGAAGCGGCAGGAGCCGCCGCCGACACCUGAAGGAAAAUUGGGCCGAUUUCCACCUAUGAUGCAUCAUCACCAGGCACCCUCAGAUGGCCAGACUCCUGGGGCUCGUUUCCAGAGGUCUCACCUUGCCGAGGCAUUUGCAAAGGCCAAAGGAUCAGGUGGAGGUGCUGGAGGAGGAGGUAGUGGAAGAGGUCUGAUGGGGCAGAUUAUUCCAAUCUACGGUUUUGGGAUUUUUUUAUAUAUACUGUACAUUCUAUUUAAGCUCUCAAAGGGGAAAACAACUGCAGAGGAUGGGAAAUGCUAUACUGCCAUGCCUGGAAACACCCACAGGAAAAUUACCAGUUUUGAGCUUGCUCAACUGCAAGAAAAACUGAAGGAGACAGAAGCAGCCAUGGAAAAAUUAAUCAACAGAGUGGGACCUAAUGGUGAGAGUACCCAGACAGACCAUAGUGAUGUUUACGUCCAUUGCCUAGGAGUAUUUACCACUAAAUGGUUGGAUUGUCUGAUAUUUCUAAGCAGAGCACAGACUGUGACUUCUGACCAAGAGAAACGGUUGCUACAUCAGCUCCGAGAAAUCACCAGGGUCAUGAAAGAAGGAAAAUUCAUUGACAGAUUUUCUCCAGAGAAAGAAGCUGAGGAGGCCCCUUACAUGGAGGACUGGGAAGGUUACCCUGAAGAGACUUACCCAAUUUAUGACCUUUCAGACUGUAUCAAGCGUAGGCAAGAAACAAUCUUGGUGGAUUACCCUGACCCAAAAGAACUUUCUGCUGAAGAAAUAGCUGAAAGAAUGGGAAUGAUAGAAGAGGAAGAAUCAGAUCAUUUGGGUUGGGAAAGUCUGCCCACUGACCCCAGAGCCCAGGAAGAUAAUUCUGUUACCUCGUGUGAUCCAAAGCCAGAAACAUGUUCCUGCUGUUUUCAUGAAGACGAGGAUCCUGCUGUCUUGGCAGAGAAUGCUGGAUUCAGUGCAGAUAGCUACCCUGAGCAAGAGGAAACCACCAAAGAAGAGUGGUCCCAAGACUUUAAAGAUGAAGGGUUGGGCAUCAGCACCGAUAAAGCAUAUACAGGCAGCAUGCUGAGGAAGCGUAACCCCCAGGGUUUAGAGUGAAAACAGCCAGUCUGAAGUAUCCAUUACUCAAGUCCCAAGAUGGGACCACUCAGGGGCAAAGGUCUGACUCUUCCUGGUAGGUGUAACAGAUAGUUCACCUGUGAACGAACAUCAGCUUACAGAUGAUGAGGACUUAAGGUUGCAAGAAUGAAGAUUUCAGACUCCAAGAUCCCUUAUUCUUUGGGCCUUGAGCAGAAUAUCCUGUAUGCGCUAUUUCCCACCAGAGGCAGAGGCCACAGGAGAUAGGCCAUGGUUCAGUUUGGUCGUUUUUGAGCUGUGUGACAUCUGCAGCUGAGCUUCAGUUUCCUCAUCUAUAAAGAAAAUAGGAUCUACCUCUUAGGUUGAACGUUCAGUGAGAUGACAAAGUGCCGUGUAAUCCAUGUAGAACCUGGCAUGCCAGAGGGAUGAUCUGGGAAAUGCACAGACAAGAACCCAGGGCGACCGUCUCCUUCUGUCUAAGAGACUCCUGGCCUGGACUGCAGAGAGCCAGGCCUGGUUUUCUGAGCUCCCCAAGCAGAUGGCCGGCUGUGGUGUGAGCUCUGAAGUCAGGAGGAGAGAGCCAGAGCCCCUGUCCUAGGCCAGGAACACUCCACAGAGGACAGCCCCUCUCCACACAGCCUUGUCUACCCACUAAGAUGGAUGGGAUAGCCCCUAGAUCAGGCAUCAAGUCCUGGAUUUCAUAUCUACCUUGGAAAUCAGAGACCCCCGAACCUAGGACUCACGUAGCACACAGCUGCCAGCUCCUGACGUAAGGUUCCACUUUCCAAAGUGGAGGAUGAGGCCUUCUGAGGGUUGACUCCAUUGUCAUAAACAGUGAACUUGGUGCCCAUCAAGUUGGACCUGAAAUAAAGGCACAAUCAGUAUAGAGUCAUGCACCCUCUGCCCCAGAGCAGGGAACAGCUCAUCGUCUGUCCUAUGAGGAGCCUGCAAAACAUUCUGGGCUGGAACAGGAGCAGGCCCAGGGAGGCAUACUGCUCACUGAAUCCACAUCUUUGAAGACACUUCGUGGGCAGAAGGCCUGGACUUGCUCUGAGUUGACUCAAAGUGCAUUUCAGUUCAGUGAGAGCAAUUCAGGGAGGUCAAUCAGGAUUCUUCAGAAGAUUUAUCUGGGGGAACAUGGGAGUUCUCCUCAUGGGAGGUGAGCAAACAGAAUGGCAUCUGAUAAGACAGUGGAAGAGGCUUAGCACCCGUGGAGAGAGGAUGAGAUCUCCUCUGUCGCAGCCAGCCUAAGUCUCAGUCCAGCCCCAUCUCCAGCUUUAGCUCCUGACCUCUCAUCUUUAUUUAUGCUCCCCAAAUCUGGUACUCAGUUCCUCAGCAAACCCUACCUCCCCACUGCCCCCACCUGGAGGCCUAGGCUCAGAGCCUUCCUGCCCCUUCACCACUGCCCCCCACCCCCAAGAUUGCUGUGUGUCUCUUCCCUCAAGAGCUCACUCUCAGCCCUGUCCCUUGGCAUUGACCAUGGAGCCAAGGCAACUCUUCCAUGGUGGCCUGCGUUAUCAGUGACACCCUGGGGUUGGAUCCAUCACUCUUGGUGGGCCUGCACCCACCUCCUGGGAACAGCUUGGGGUCGGGUGUGUGAUUCCCAUCUCCAAGUCUGGCUCUAGGCUGGCAUAGACAUAGGCCUCCAGUUGGAUGUGAUUAUCAGAGAGGAUCCUGGGAGAGUAUCCAUCCCUGGCCUAGAUCUCCUUCAGGAAGAUUCAGGCCCUCUACAGACAGCUUGCCCCUGCCCCUCCCUCCCACUCCCGCCUGCUUCCUGGGGGAAUGCUAGUACCGCAGUUUCCCGAUAUAGCUGUCCCCUCCUCGAGACAAGUCUGUUGGGUCCACAGAGAUGAGGUAAUUGGAAGUUUUACUCUUCUUUCUCUUCCUUCCCGCCAGGAGGAACACCUUGGGGAGUGGAAUGAGGUCAUAUUCCAGACUCAGCCUCUGGUCUGCACACAGUCAUGAGAGCCACUCACACAGACUCUCUCCGUUGCGUCAGCUCCCAAACGCACAUAUGUGCACACACACAAAUGCACUGGAAAACACAAAGAUGUGCACAGACCAGACACGAAGGCAGUUUCUUUGAGGAACUGAGAGGUCAGUGGUAGAUAUGAGACUUCCAGUCACAUUUCAGCCCCUAGGAUUUCAAAGGGCUGUAAAGCCUAGAUGAUAACAUGCCCAGACCAACCUUACCUUCUUCCCAUCCUCACGGUCCAGGUGCAGAAAGUAGGUGGGGUACAUGCCCCGGUCCAUCCCUUUCUUGUCCCGAGUGAUGCGGCAUUUGAUGGUGAUACCCUGGGGGGCCGGCCUCAGUGCAAACUCCUCAAGAUCCUGGACCUCAACGUCCACUGGUUGCUCUGGAGCUGUUGGGCUAGGGGCUGAGGCUGCCUCCUAUGGGGAUGCAGAAUAGGUGCCUGAGCCCCAAGGACCCUAAGCAGCCCAAAUUGGUGGUCUGGGAUCCAAAUCUGCCUCCUAACGUGGCGGUGGGAGAGAGGGAAGGAUCCUGGGAUUGGGGCCUGGCCAGCCUGGGCCUGGGGUCAGAAGCUAUCUUCCCAGCCCUGCCCUCAACAGUUCCUAGAGGUGGAGAUGGGAGAUACGGGAGGUCCUCAGAGGUCAUCCUGUCCAACUGCAUCUCCCCCCAUACAUCACCCUGCUGGCCUAGCUGAAGAGGUUAGGAGGCAAGGUAGAGGGACAUAAGAGGCCAGCAGAGAAGCUCCUAAAGGCAUACGAGUCCAUCUCUUCACAUGCAGUCCACCUCUAACGGAUGAGCAGUCCUCCAAAAACUGCUGUGGAUGCAGACUCACUCACUCACCCUGACGGACUUCCUGCUAGUAGCAGAGCUGGGGCGGGUGUUACUAUUUAGCUGGGAGGAGCUGGAGCUAUUCUCCUCCUCAUCCUCCUCAUCCUCGUCAAAGCUCAUGCUGCUGGAGAUGCCUGGGCCAAGGAGAGAAGAAGAAGGGAUGAAGGAGGAGAAGUCUACGCUGCCCCUGAAAUACACAUGGUCACAUACUCAUGUUCAGACACUGACUCACCUGUACCCCCACAAACUUAUGCACACACUCUUAGCCAUAUCUACACAUAUAGACUCCCAUUCACACAUAUAUUCCCACACAUGUCCAGAUAUAAAAGGAUAUUCUCUCAGGUACACACAUGAGCCGGGGCUGGCCACAAUCCUCAGGAUAUAUCCCCACCACCCAGUUUCAGCUCAGUCCCUACAUUACCCCACUACCUAGCAGCCACCCUACCACUGUCUCUUGUGUAUCAAGGCCUGCACUGAGCUCACCUUGAACUGGGAAUCUCCAUUUCUGACCUCAGGCCUAUUAGAGGCCUUGGCUGGCAUAGACCACGGAAUCUGCCAGGGCACAGGCCUCAGCUCCUUCCUCAGCCCAAUGUGGAGGGGACCCACUGACUCCUCAUCUUUGCCCUGAGCUUCUAUCUCAGCUGUCCUCCCGCCUGCCAUUCCCUGGGAAUGCCAUCCCCAUCCUCAAGUUGUCUCAAAGUCCUUUGUACAGGAAGCCAUCCUUGAUUAGAUUCCUCACAAUGUGUGGCACUGCCAGGCUUCUUCCCUCUGCCACCCUGCACCAGGGGCUCCCUAGGGCAGGGCUUGUGGUGGGAAAACUGAACAGCAGGUUUCCACGGAGGAUCUACCCCGUCUCUUGGUAUCCUGGCCCUGCUCCCAGUAGCUCAGCAAACAUAUGGGAAACUUCUUGCAAAAGGAGCUUUUUCUAAGGAGCAAAAGGAAAAGGAAAUCUGCCCCCAAAUCAGGGCCUCCCUGGGGCCUUAGCAGGGGCCCUGCCUAAGAGUUUCUCAUUUGUCUCCGAAGUGUGCCCCACCCUCACCCACCAUUGCCAGGGAGGGGUUUGGACACAGGAAGGCCAUGCUCCCAGAGAAAGGUGCAUCUGAGAACCUGGGACUGAGUUUUGGGGGUAUCACUGGGUCCCCAUGGGGCUCACCCUUCCUCUGCAUCGUGGCACGGAGAUCCUGCCCGCUGGGCCGUUCGCCCCCACCAGCUGCCGUCUCCCCUGCGUCCUGGGCGUGGUCUGACUGGCCCACAGUCAGAAUCUGCACUGGGCCUUGGGCCUCAGACUUGUCUUCUGCCAGUGCUGCUGGCCCGCUGGUGCCUGCAGGCCACGGACACGCCUGAGUUACAUCCAGGAGGAGGAGAGGAGGGCCUGGAUUCUCAGACGUCCAUGAAGGGGAUGAGGGAAGAGUGGGGAAACCCUCUGCAAAACUUUAUUUGCAAAAGUGAUUUUUAUAAAACUAAUGAUUGCACCAGCCUGUUAACAACUGGUAAGCUAGUAAGGGAUGUGGGCUUCAUUUCUUCUGCUCUUCCCCCAAAUUAAUUGCCGAGGGUUGGUUUACAACACCUCACGUCCUUAAAGCAGACGGCAGCCAUCUACAAAACCAACUGCACAGUGGAAAAACAAGAUGGAGAACAAGGACUGAUCCAGACCAUAGGCAAGGCCAGCAAUCAUUCAUGGACACGACCAGCUACAAGCCAUCAAUGCUGGUGUUUUCUUCCACAAACAGACACAACAUACACACGUGCAGUAACUCACAUACAUCAUUAAAAACGUGGGCCCCUUGAGAAAGAUUGCAAUUGGCAUACACUCGCCUUCCCAAAUGGAGCAUCUCCCAUCCUACGUCAGCUUUCCUGCCCGUUACCACAGAGCUUCAGCAACAGAAGCAAGGCCUGACCCACACAGGUGGCAGCCACCCUGCCCGCCUACUGAGCUAUGCCCAGAGUGCUCGGCCAGCUCCAGAAGCCCAUGGCCUGUGACACAUCACUGUCCAACCGUGACGCAGUGGCCUGGAAACCACUGUCCGUGAACAAAAGUUGAGGAAACGGGGUGUGUAGCCAAGAGACAGGACCUGGGGCAGGUACCGCCAAUCACUGUCCUUAAUCUUUAGGGGUCUUUUCUGGAGAAAGAGGAGCAGAGGGAACAGGCUGGUCUGUGGUCCAGAGGGUGGAACCUGGACUAGAAUAUGGAGUCAAGGGAAGUCCACAUUAUACGAAGAGCUGACGGCGAGGGCUGCAUAAGGAUGGGGCAAGCUGCCUGGGAAGCAGUCAGCCCCCAGUGCAGUGAGUGUCCUAGUCCAGGCUGGGUGAGAUCCUCCUUGAGGGGUCAUGAUAAAGGGUGCUCAGGCCAAGGUAGCUGAGGUGGGGGACGGUGGUUCUGGGCCACAGCUGAGCAGGACUUCACUUCCUGGCAGUGUGGUAGGCAUGCCCACACCCAGAGGCAGCCCAGGCACCUCCCAAGCUAGAUGAGGCCUGUGAGCCACCUGAGGGGGUGCCCAGAGUGGCAGUCUGUGUCUUCCCUGAGGCUGUUCAUCCUAUCCCUCCCCUCCAAGUCAGGAGGACAAACCUUCCCCAGCCCUACAGUGGAGGCCAGGCCUGCUGGGGAGGGCUGUAGAGAAUGUGAGCUGACCUUUGUGCUUUCCCUUCUUCUCCUUCCUAGCGGCGCCACCCUGGCCCCCUGCUGUAGCUGCCGCCUUGGUUCUCUUGGCUGAAGCUGGUGCUGUUGGGCGCGUGGCUCCCAGCUGCACACUGGCGAGUGAGUCGGCCUCUUGAACUGCUCAGGAAACAUCCCCAGAUGGAGAGAGAGAAACAGGCAGUGGGUGAGACCAGAGCUCCCACCUGAACACAGUCCCCAGCACAGCAUUUUUGACUGCACCCCGAGUCCCACCAGGGCCCCUGUACCACUUCUACAGCCCACAGGAUCAGGCCCACUCAUCUCUACUAGGCAAAGAUUCCAGGGCAGGCCCAGCUGGAAGGAGGCGGCACCCCCAGCCCAGUGUAAUCAAGUCAACAGCCAGACCAAAACCUGUGAUCAGCCAACAAAGUGCGCACUCAAAAGUUCUGGGCCACCAAACCAUACUGAGCCUGAACAGGGGCAGGGAGAAUGUCUGAGAGGAUAUGGCCAUUGAAGACGGGGAAGAAAGAACAAAGGCUGCAUCUUCUGGAAGAGACCACAACCAGGGCAAGCACUCCAGGGAGCCUACGAGGGGGCUCUGCGGGGAUGAGCCCAUGGGAGGCUGGGGUGUAGGAGUGCUCAGAACAACAACUCUGGGACACAAGAAGCUACAGGCACCAACAGUGAGGUCUCAGAAGGGUCCCAGCUGGUGGCCUCCAAAUUCUCCAUACUGCAGAACCCCAAUCUGCUCAAAAUCCUUGAAUGGUUUCUGAUUGCUCUUAAGCUGAAGACCAACAUUCUCUCCCUUCCCCUAGGUCUAAAAUAAACACAUACUCCCCACCUCUGGGGCACCAAGAGUUGCAGCCACACCAGGCUGGUCUGUUGCCUCACAUGCACUGCACUCCCUCUUGCCACAGGGCCCUUGCUCCUGCUGCCUGCACUGCCCUCCCCCUCGCCCCCCUCAGUGAUCAACUCCCACUCAUCCUGCAGAUUUCAGCUUGGAUGUCACCUCCCGAGGGACGCUGUGCCUGCCUCCCUCGUCAGAGCAGGUGUUGUCAUCUACUCACAGAAUUUGGCUUCCUUCCACAAAGCAACCCCGUGACCAUCUGUUUAACAUUGUCUCUCCACCUAGACUGUAAGGUCCGUGAAAGCAGGGACCACACCCAUUUGUGCUCACUUGGGACCUACAGCCUCUAAUCCAGAGCCUGACACAAACCUCAAUAAAUAUUUAAGAACUGAA